AUGCUCACGUCAGAAGCACAUGUAAUAAAAUUGGAACCACAGAGAGAAAAUUGGCAUGGCCCCUGCACAAGGACAAUAUGCAAAUUUGUGGAGCAUUCCAGAUGUUU